GGCCCCAUCGUCUAGCCUGGUCAAGGACGGGAGAUUCUCAGUCUUCAAACAGGGGUUCAAAUCCCCUUGGGGCUG
rnacentral:tRNA from 1 species